AUGGCCACCGGAAGCUUCACACCUGCUUGUGUGUCUUGCAAAAAAGCAAGCUACCUGGUACCUCUCUACUCUGCUUUAGCAGGCGUUUGCAGAGGAAGCCAAGGGGUACAUGAUACUGGUGUAUUUGUUGGGUUCCUCUUGGCGUGUCGAACAAAAAUUGGCGUUCAGCACUGCUAUUUAAAGAUGGUAUCUAAGAAUGAUGAUGAUUACACUCGGAGCAAGCCUUGUUGCGGCGCUGCAAGUGUUGCCCUCCUCCUCCCCAAGGGCAAGGUGAAGGAAGGUGCCUGUGUGGUUCUUCUGCAGCUCGUAGCGAGGAUUGCUGUGUUCAACCUGCACAAGAAUGCCAAGAAGUCCUUCUCGGAGACGAUUAAGGACAUGUACCUGCACUACAACGAGAGAUCUGGGUUGCUUCUUUGUGGCUUCCAAACUUGA
rnacentral:rRNA from 1 species